UUCUUCUCCCUGAUGUUUCUGUCUCAUUCCCUCUCCUUUUUCAGGCCUUCUAACGUGUUCUGUUCCUUUUGACUUCUUCCCCUCUGAAGGAAGGAGGAGACCACUAGACCUGUCGGCCUCAUGGGGGACAAAGCACAAGGUGUCACCCUCUGACUAUUGAACAGGGUAAGUUUAGCACUAAUUCAUACAACAGAUAAUAAAUUUAUGGAAUUAUCAGAAAUAGCUACUAAA
rnacentral:lncRNA from 1 species